AAAAGGAAGCCUGAACAAGGAACACAAUGAGAAAGCAUGUGAGAUAUUGCACGUGCUGAUUUAUUUGGUUAAUUUUAUUGUGUUUCUAGAGGUAAUGAAGUGGAGCUGCUAAGGGUGAAGGCCAGAGAUGGGCCUUAGGGGGUGCCACCUCCUAACCUGUAUGCUGUGGGUAUGCAUCUCCUCUCAUAGAAAAUGAAGCUGUCUGUCUGCUAAGAGUCCUGGGUAACCUAGCAUGCAAGGGAAGAAAGUUAGACAUGUCAGGACAUGGUGUCAUUUUGGGGUCAAGUGACAAAGACUGAAGCCACCCAAUCCCUGAGGCAGUCUGGAUCUGUUGCUCAACCUGCACGGUGGCAUUUCAUCUGAGAGGAUGAUUGAGUGACGAGCCUGGAACAAAAUAAUUGCAAUAAUAUUAUUUGGUACCCAGUUUAAUGUAUUCAUUAAGAUUCACAAAGACCACAGAAAAGCUUCAUAUCUGGGGAAGUGCAGUGACCAAUAGGAAAAUGUACAUUUGUCAGGAAAAUAAUCAAAAUACUUGAAGUUAUUUCUCAGAGUCUCAAAGAAAAACAAGAUAAUCACAUAAUAAGAAACACUGUUGUCCCUCCUAUCACACUUUUUUAUAUUAUCAGCAAUUAUUUGAUGUUCCAGUCUUGCAAGUCUUAUGAAUAUGAGCAAAGUUUACUGAAACAAAUGAACCUGGAAAGGUCAGAUCCCUGCCUUGAAUAAAUACAUAUAGAUGAUUAUAUUCCUGUUUAGUCUCCUAGGUGUGGUGUGCUGCAGAGAAGCACAGAAACUCUUUUGUGAUGGUUUGUUUUCUUUUAUCCAGGUUUAAAUAAAAUGUCCUUCUUGCUGUUUCCCA